rnacentral:rRNA from 1 species
GACGAACGCUGGCGGCGUGCCUAAUACAUGCAAGUAGAACGCACAGUUUAUACCGUAGCUUGCUACACCAUACACUGUGAGUUGCGAACGGGUGAGUAACGCGUAGGUAACCUGCCUGGUAGCGGGGGAUAACUAUUGGAAACGAUAGCUAAUACCGCAUAAUAUUAAUUAUUGCAUGAUAAUUGAUUGAAAGAUGCAAUUGCAUCACUACCAGAUGGACCUGCGUUGUAUUAGCUAGUAGGUGAGGUAACGGCUCACCUAGGCGACGAUACAUAGCCGACCUGAGAGGGUGAUCGGCCACACUGGGACUGAGACACGGCCCAGACUCCUACGGGAGGCAGCAGUAGGGAAUCUUCGGCAAUGGACGAAAGUCUGACCGAGCAACGCCGCGUGAGUGAAGAAGGGUUUCGGAUCGUAAAGCUCUGUUGUAAGAGAAGAACGGGUGUGAGAGUGGAAAGUUCACACUGUGACGGUAUCUUACCAGAAAGGGACGGCUAACUACGUG